UGGACCAUGUAACAUACUUUAGGGAAGAGAGAUGUGCAGCUAUCUGAUGCUUUUAAAUUUCUGUGUGUGUUGUGACCAGUGAUGUCAGAACAUCACAUUCUCUCGGUUCAUUAUUUCAAAAGUCCAAGAUGGGAUGGAAUGAAGUUCUCCACUUCAGAGAAGAGCAAGAGAGUGAGCUCAAGAAGGAGAAGUGGCAGGUAGAGG